UACGGGGGGGGCAAGCGUUGUUCGGCAUUACUGGGCGUAAAGGGUUCGUAGGUGGCCAACUAAGUCAGACGUGAAAUCCCUCAGCUUAACUGGGGAACUGCGUCUGAUACUGGUUGGCUUGAGUGCAGGAGAGGAACGCGGAAUUCCAGGUGUAGCGGUGAAAUGCGUAGAUAUCUGGAGGAACACCGGUGGCGAAGGCGGCGUUCUGGACUGCAACUGACACUGAGGAACGAAAGCCAGGGGAGCAAACGGG
rnacentral:rRNA from 1 species